rnacentral:rRNA from 1 species
GAUGAACGCUGGCGGCGUGCCUAAUACAUGCAAGUCGAGCGCACGGACGAGAUGCUUGCUUCUCUUAUGUUAGCGGCGGACGGGUGAGUAACACGUGGAUAACCUACCUAUAAGACUGGGAUAACUUCUGGAAACCGGAGCUAAUACCGGAUAAUAUUUUUAACCGCAUGUUUCAAAAGUGAAAGACGCUCUUGCUGUCACUUAUAGAUGGAUCCGCUCUGCAUUAGCUAUUUGGUAAGGUAACGGCUUACCAAGGCAACGAUCCAUAGCCGACCUGAGAGGGGGAUCGGCCACACUGGAACGGGGACACGGUCCAGACUCCUACGGGAGGCAGCAGUAGGGAAUCUUCCGCAAUGAGCGAAGGCCUGACGGAGCAACGCCGCGUGAGGGAUGAAGGUCUUCGAAUCGUAAAACUCUGUUAUUAGGGAGGAAGAUAGGGGUAAGUAACUGUGCACAUCUUGACGGUACCUAAUCAGAAAGCCACGGCUAACUACGUG